CAAUACUCCGCCGGCGACCGGCGCACGGGUGCGUAACGCGUAUGCAACCUACCUUUAACAGGGGCAUAACACUGAGAAAUUGGUACUAAUUCCCCAUAACAUUCGAGAAGGCAUCUUCUUGGGUUAAAAACUCCGGUGGUUAAAGAUGGGCAUGCGUUGUAUUAGCUAGUUGGUGAGGUAACGGCUCACCAAGGCAACGAUACAUAGGGGGACUGAGAGGUUAACCCCCCACAUUGGUACUGAGACACGGACCAA
rnacentral:rRNA from 1 species